rnacentral:rRNA from 1 species
UACGGAGGGAGCUAGCGUUGUUCGGAAUUACUGGGCGUAAAGCGCGCGUAGGCGGUUUUUUAAGUCAGAGGUGAAAGCCCAGUGCUCAACACUGGAACUGUCUUUGAAACUGGAAAACUUGAAUCUUGGAGAGGUCAGUGGAAUUCCGAGUGUAGAGGUGAAAUUCGUAGAUAUUCGGAAGAACACCAGUGGCGAAGGCGACUGACUGGACAAGUAUUGACGCUGAGGUGCGAAAGCGUGGGGAGCAAACAGG